ensembl:lncRNA
GUUCUGAAGUCGGAGGAUGGGAAGGGUGCAGAGGGAACUGCGACUUUGAUGACAGCAUUUGACAGUGAGCAUGGGGAUUCCAGUGCAGAGGAAACCAUUUCUGCUUAAUGACCCUGGCUGCAGUGAAGAUGAAAUAGAUGUGGCUUCCUCCCUCCAUCCCUUAUCCUGGCCUCAUCAGAAUCACAGCUUCUUAAGGAUGAACCCCUUCGAGUGAAAUUGCUAAGCAAAGGGCAGGCACUUUGUGAAGAUGUGUGAUGCAUAUUUCCAGUUGCUCUACAGAGAAGCUGUACCACUGUACACCAGCAAAAAAUGGGAGGGCCUUUCCUUGUGAAUCCUCACUAAUACUGCCACCUUAAAAAAACCUCAAAACAGAUCCAAACACUGUAAA